rnacentral:rRNA from 1 species
GCCUACCAUGGUGGUAACGGGUAACGGGGUGUUAGGGCACGACACCGGAGAGGGAGCCUGAGAAACGGCUACCACAUCCAAGGAUGGCAGCAGGCGCGCAAAUUACCCAAUCCCGACACGGGGAGGUAGUGACAAUAAAUAACAAUACGGGGUCCUUUCGGAUUUCGUAAUUGGAAUGAGUACAAUUUAAAUCUCUUAACGAGGAACAAUUGGAGGGCAAGUCUGGUGCCAGCAGCCGCGGUAAUUCCAGCUCCAAUAGCGUAUAUUAAAGUUGUUGCAGUUAAAAAGCUCGUAGUUGAAUUUCGGGACCAAUUUGUCGGUCGUGCCUCGGUACGCACUGGCUUAUUGGUUUCUCCCUUCUGAAGAACCAUGAUGUCAUUUAUUUGGUGUCGUGGGGAAUCAGGACUGUUACUUUGAAAAAAUUAGAGUGUUUAAAGCAGGCUCACGCUUGAAUACAUUAGCAUGGAAUAAUGAAAUAGGACGUUUGAUUCUAUUUUGUUGGUUUCUAGGAUCGACGUAAUGAUUAAUAGGGAUAGUUGGGGGCAUUAGUAUUCAAUUGUCAGAGGUGAAAUUCUUGGAUUUAUUGAAGACUAACUACUGCGAAAGCAUUUGCCAAGGAUGUUUUCAUUAAUCAAGAACGAAAGUUAGGGGAUCGAAGACGAUCAGAUACCGUCGUAGUCUUAACCAUAAACUAUGCCGACUAGGGAUCGGAUGAUGUUAAUUUUUUAAUGACUCAUUCGGCGCCUUACG